rnacentral:rRNA from 1 species
GGUGAACGCUGGCGGCGUGCCUAAGACAUGCAAGUCGAGCGGGCCGCGGGGUUUUACUCCGUGGUCAGCGGCGGACGGGUGAGUAACGCGUGGGUGACCUACCCGGAAGAGGGGGACAACCCGGGGAAACUCGGGCUAAUCCCCCAUGUGGACCCGCCCCUUGGGGUGUGUCCAAAGGGCUUUGCCCGCUUCCGGAUGGGCCCGCGUCCCAUCAGCUAGUUGGUGGGGUAAUGGCCCACCAAGGCGACGACGGGUAGCCGGCCUGAGAGGGUGGCCGGCCACAGGGGCACUGAGACACGGGCCCCACGCCGACGGGAGGCAGCAGUGAGGAAUCUUCCGCAAUGGGCGCAAGCCUGACGGAGCGACGCCGCUUGGAGGAAGAAGCCCUUCGGGGUGUAAACUCCUGAACCCGGGACGAAACCCCCGACGAGGGGACUGACGGUACUGGGGUAAUAGCGCCGGCCAACUACGUG